rnacentral:rRNA from 1 species
AUUGAACGCUGGCGGCAGGCCUAACACAUGCAAGUCGAACGGUAACAGGAAACAGCUUGCUGUUUCGCUGACGAGUGGCGGACGGGUGAGUAAUGUCUGGGAAACUGCCUGAUGGCGGGGGAUAACUACUGGAAACGGUAGCUAAUACCGCAUAACGUCGCAAGACCAAAGAGGGGGACCUUCGGGCCUCUUGCCAUCGGAUGUGCCCAGAUGGGAUUAGCUAGUAGGUGGGGUAACGGCUCACCUAGGCGACGAUCCCUAGCUGGUCUGAGAGGAUGACCAGCCACACUGGAACUGAGACACGGUCCAGACUCCUACGGGAGGCAGCAGUGGGGAAUAUUGCACAAUGGGCGCAAGCCUGAUGCAGCCAUGCCGCGUGUAUGAAGAAGGCCUUCGGGUUGUAAAGUACUUUCAGCGGGGAGGAAGGGAGUAAAGUUAAUACCUUUGCUCAUUGACGUUACCCGCAGAAGAAGCACCGGCUAACUCCGUG